AGCACUUGUUUAUGUUUUUGUUUUACUUUUGGACAAAGAGUAACAGACAGGUGCAAAAGAUAAAUCCUUUUUUGCAACCCAGAACUCAUUGUUCAGUAUGAGUUUUGAUAGUAUAAGAAGGAAUAUU
rnacentral:snoRNA from 1 species